rnacentral:tRNA from 1 species
CGUAGGGUAGACUAAGAAAAAGUCGUCUAGCUCAUAACCUGAAAAUACGAAAAAGAUCGUCCUUACGU